rnacentral:rRNA from 1 species
GCGAUCAUACCAGCACUAAUGCACCGGAUCCCAUCAUAACUUCGCAGUUAAGCGUGCUUGGGCGAGAGUAGUACUAGGAUGGGUGACCUCCUGGAAGUCCUCGUGUUGCACCCC